rnacentral:rRNA from 1 species
UUUAGUAAUAGUUAUUUCCUUGAAAAUUAAAGAUUUUGGCGGUAUUUCAGUCUAAUCAGAGGAACCUGUUCUGUAAUUGAUAGUCCACGAUUUACUUUACUUCAGAAAUUUGUAUAUCGUCGUAUUUUAGAAUAUUUUAUAAGAAUUUUAAUAUUCAAUUUUUAUUAUUAAAACAUAAAUCAGAUCAAGGUGCAGUUUAUAAACAAGAAGAAAUGGGUUACAAUAAAAAUAUUUAUACAGUUUAUUAUAUGAAAAAAUGAUAAUAAGGUGGGAAAGUAAUAUUUUAAAUUAAUAAAUAUGAUUUAGGCUCUGAAAUAUG